AAGUGCGAAUGCUGACAUAAGUAACGAUAAAACGGGUGAAAAACCCGUUCGCCGGAAGACCAAGGGUUCCUGUCCAACGUUAAUCGGGGCAGGGUGAGUCGGCUCCUAAGGCGAGGCUGAAAAGCGUAGUCGAUGGGAAACAGGUUAAUAUUCCUGUACUUGGUAAAGCUGCGAUGUGGGGACGGAGUAGGUUAGGUUAUCGCACUGUUGGAUAUGUGCGUUUAAGUUGGUAGGUGGGAAGUUUAGGCAAAUCCGGGCUUCCUUAACACAGAGAGAUGAUGACGAGGCUCUACGGAGCUGAAGUAACUGAUACCACACUUCCAGGAAAAGCCACUAAGCGAAAGGCUUUACUAAACCGUACUGAAAACCGACACAGGUGGUCAGGUAGAGAAUACUCAGGCGCUUGAGAGAACUCGGGUGAAGGAACUAGGCAAAAUAGCACCGUAACUUCGGGAGAAGGUGCGCCGGCGUAGAUUGUAAGGGCUAGCCCCUGAAGGUUGAACCGGUCGAAGAUACCAGCUGGCUGCAACUGUUUAUUAAAAACACAGCACUCUGCAAACACGAAAGUGGACGUAUAGGGUGUGAUGCCUGCCCGGUGCUGGAAGGUUAAUUGAUGGUGUAAUCGCAAGAGAAGCACCUGAUCGAAGCCCCAGUAAACGGCGGCCGUAACUAUAACGGUCCUAAGGUAGCGAAAUUCCUUGUCGGGUAAGUUCCGACCUGCACGAAUGGCAUAAUGAUGGCCAGGCUGUCUCCACCCGAGACUCAGUGAAAUUGAAAUCGCCGUGAAGAUGCGGUGUACCCGCGGCUAGACGGAAAGACCCCGUGAACCUUUACUAUAGCUUGACACUGAACAUUGAAUUUUGAUGUGUAGGAUAGGUGGGAGCCUUUGAAGCAGUGACGCCAGUCAUUGUGGAGGCGACCUUGAAAUACCACCCUUUAACGUUUGAUGUUCUAACGAAGAUGACGAAACGUGGUCUCGGACAGUGUCUGGUGGGUAGUUUGACUGGGGCGGUCUCCUCCCAAAGCGUAACGGAGGAGCACGAAGGUUUGCUAAUCACGGUCGGACAUCGUGAGGUUAGUGCAAUGGUAUAAGCAAGCUUAACUGCGAGACAGACAAGUCGAGCAGGUACGAAAGUAGGUCAUAGUGAUCCGGUGGUUCUGAAUGGAAGGGCCAUCGCUCAACGGAUAAAAGGUACUCCGGGGAUAACAGGCUGAUACCGCCCAAGAGUUCAUAUCGACGGCGGUGUUUGGCACCUCGAUGUCGGCUCAUCACAUCCUGGGGCUGAAGUAGGUCCCAAGGGUAUGGCUGUUCGCCAUUUAAAGUGGUACGCGAGCUGGGUUUAGAACGUCGUGAGACAGUUCGGUCCCUAUCUGCCGUGGGCGUAGGAGAAUUGGUUGGGGCUGCUCCUAGUACGAGAGGACCGGAGUGGACGCACCACUGGUGUUCCGGUUGUGUCGCCAGACGCAUUGCCGGGUAGCUAAGUGCGGAAGAGAUAAGUGCUGAAAGCAUCUAAGCACGAAACUUGCCAAGAGAUGAGUUCUCCCAAUCAAAGAGAUUGU
rnacentral:rRNA from 1 species